GUUGAUAGGUCGGGUGUGUAAGCGCUGCGAGGCGUUGAGCUAACCGAUACUAAUUGCUCGUGAGGCUUGACUAU
rnacentral:ncRNA from 1 species